rnacentral:rRNA from 1 species
AACAGGAUUAGAUACCCUGGUAGUCCUCGCCGUAAACGAUGUCGACUUGGAGGUUGUGCCCUUGAGGCGUGGCUUCCGGAGCUAACGCGUUAAGUCGACCGCCUGGGGGGUACGGCCGCAAGGUUAAAACUCAAAUGAAUUGACGGGGGCCCGCACAAGCGGUGGAGCAUGUGGUUUAAUUCGAUGCAACGCGAAGAACCUUACCUACUCUUGACAUCCAGAGAACUUAGCAGAGAUGCUUUGGUGCCUUCGGGAACUCUGAGACAGGUGCUGCAUGGCUGUCGUCAGCUCGUGUUGUGAAAUGUUGGGUUAAGUCCCGCAACGAGCGCAACCCUUAUCCUUUGUUGCCAGCGGUUAGGCCGGGAACUCAAAGGAGACUGCCAGUGAUAAACUGGAGGAAGGUGGGGAUGACGUCAAGUCAUCAUGGCCCUUACGAGUAGGGCUACACACGUGCUACAAUGGCGCAUACAAAGAGAAGCGACCUCGCGAGAGCAAGCGGACCUCAUAAAGUGCGUCGUAGUCCGGAUUGGAGUCUGCAACUCGACUCCAUGAAGUCGGAAUCGCUAGUAAUCGUGGAUCAGAAUGCCACGGUGAAUACGUUCCCGGGCCUAGUACACACCGCCCGUCACACCAUGGGAGUGGGUUGCAAAAGAAGUAGGUAGCUUAACCUUCGGGAGGGCGCUUACCACUUUGUGAUUCAUGACUGGGGUGAAGUCGUAACAAGGUAACC